rnacentral:rRNA from 1 species
AAUCCAUAGGUUAAUGAGGCGAACCGGGGGAACUGAAACAUCUAAGUACCCCGAGGAAAAGAAAUCAACCGAGAUUCCCCCAGUAGCGGCGAGCGAACGGGGAGGAGCCCAGAGCCUGAAUCAGCAUGUGUGUUAGUGGAAGCGUCUGGAAAGGCGCGCGAUACAGGGUGACAGCCCCGUACACAAAAGCGCAUGUGCUGUGAGCUCGAUGAGUAGGGCGGGACACGUGGUAUCCUGUCUGAAUAUGGGGGGACCAUCCUCCAAGGCUAAAUACUCCUGACUGACCGAUAGUGAACCAGUACCGUGAGGGAAAGGCGAAAAGAACCCCGGCGAGGGGAGUGAAAAAGAACCUGAAACCGUGUACGUACAAGCAGUGGGAGCACCCUUUGGGGUGUGACUGCGUACCUUUUGUAUAAUGGGUCAGCGACUUAUAUUCUGUAGCAAGGUUAACCGUAUAGGGGAGCCGGAGGGAAACCGAGUCUUAAUUGGGCGUUAAGUUGCAGGGUAUAGACCCGAAACCCGGUGAUCUAGCCAUGGGCAG